rnacentral:lncRNA from 1 species
GUAUAAAAGCUGGUGUGAUAGAGAAAGAGUUCAUCUGUUCUCCUUAUCUCUGAAGGUUGUGUUGAGAUGAAUUCCAAGCAUGCUAUCACCAUUGCCAUUCUCCUGGCUAUGUCCGUCACAUCACUCCCUUUUGUUGCUGCACGACGGCUCCCAGAACUGAACCAUGGCCUACCAGAGAGAAAGGUGCUGGCAAUCAGCACGCCGGUGAAAGGUAUGUUCCUUCUUCGUUGUGAUCUCGCAACUUAAUUUCUGCUACUUGUUUUGGGGAUUAUUUAGUACGCAUUUACUACUGAGGCUUACAGUCCGGAGCUUUAAGCAUUUCUUGUGUUUCUAGGAGCAAAAGAACGGAUGUAUGCCAGAGACGAGAAAAUCAUUAUCGGCCUACCCAAUACCAUGAUCCUUCCACGCCCUCCCUCUCCGUCGUGCAAGGCCAAGGCGUGUUAGGAUGAUACUAUCGCGGCCCACAUGGAGGAAUAUAUGCUCUGGACGAGAAUGUGUCUGCUUCGUAUUGAAUAAUUGAGCUUGUCACUCGUGUGUGUUAAAAUAAAGAGCUUGCAACUCAUGUAUCUACUAGCUGAAUAUCCAUGUGUUGCUACGGAAAUAAACGUUCACGUCUUACAGUCUGAAUUUCGUCUUAACUAUUUCUGUUACCCCAUUCCAAAUUUCCAAUCAAUACUGC